rnacentral:rRNA from 1 species
GAUGAACGCUGGCGGCGUGCCUAAUACAUGCAAGUCGAGCGAACGGACGAGAAGCUUGCUUCUCUGAUGUUAGCGGCGGACGGGUGAGUAACACGUGGAUAACCUACCUAUAAGACUGGGAUAACUUCGGGAAACCGGAGCUAAUACCGGAUAAUAUUUUGAACCGCAUGGUUCAAAAGUGAAAGACGGUCUUGCUGUCACUUAUAGAUGGAUCCGCGCUGCAUUAGCUAGUUGGUAAGGUAACGGCUUACCAAGGCAACGAUGCAUAGCCGACCUGAGAGGGUGAUCGGCCACACUGGAACUGAGACACGGUCCAGACUCCUACGGGAGGCAGCAGUAGGGAAUCUUCUGCAAUGGGCGAAAGCCUGACGGAGCAACGCCGCGUGAGUGAUGAAGGUCUUCGUAUCGUAAAACUCUGUUAUUAGGGAAGAACAUAUGUGUAAGUAACUGUGCACAUCUUGACGGUACCUAAUCAGAAAGCCACGGCUAACUACGUG